UUAACCGGAAACAUAAUACAUGUGUGAAUAUAUAGACAAAUAUAGUGUCACUAGUAUGCCUCUACUUGACUAGCUUGUUAAUCAAAGAUGGUUAUGUUUCCUAACCAUGAACAAGGAGUUGUUAUUUGAUUAACAAGGUCACAUCAUUAGUUGAAUGAUCUGAUUGACAUGACCCAUUCCGUUAGCUUAGCACCCGAUCGUUUUAGUAUGUUGCUAUUGCUUCCUUCAAGACUUAUACAUGUUCCUGUGACUAUGAGAUUAUGCAACUCCCGCUGACAGGAGGAACACUUUGUGUGCUACCAAAUGUCACAACGUAACUGGGUGAUUAUAAAGGUGCUCUACAGGUGUCUCGGUCAUGUUGUGACGUUUGGUAGCACACAAAGUGUUCCUCCGGUAAACGGGAGUUGCAUAAUCUCAUAGUCACAGGAACAUGUAUAAGUCAUGAAGGAAGCAAUAGCAACAUACUAAAACGAUCGGGUGCUAAGCUAACGGAAUGGGUCAUGUCAAUCAGAUCAUUCAACUAAUGAUGUGACCUUGUUAAUCAAAUAACAACUCCUUGUUUAUGGUUAGGAAACAUAACCAUCUUUGAUUAACAAGCUAGUCAAGUAGAGGCAUACUAGUGACACUCUGUUUGUCUAUAUAUUCACACAUGUAUUAUGUUUUCGGUUAAUACAAUUCUAGCAUGAAUAAUAAACAUUUAUCAUGAUAUGAGGAAAUAAAUAAUAACUUUAUUAUUGCCUCUAGGGCAUAUUUCCUUCAGUCUCCCACUUGCACUAGAGUCAAUAAUCUAGAUUACAUAGUAAUGAUUCUAACAGCCAUGGAGUCUUGGUGUUGAUCAUGUUUUGCUCGUGGAAGAGGCUUAGUCAACGAGUCUGCAACAUUCAGAUCCGUAUGUAUCUUGCAAAUCUCUAUGUCUCCCACCUGGACUAGAUCCCGGAUGGAAUUGAAGUGUCUCUUGAUGUGCUUGGUUCUCUUGUGAAAUCUGGAUUCCUUCGCUAAGGCAAUCGCUCCAGUAUUGUCACAAAAGAUUUUCAUUGGACCCGAUGCACUAGGUAUGACACCUAGAUCGGAUAUGAACUCCUUCAUCCAGACUCCUUCAUUGGCUGCUUCCGAAGCAGCUAUGUAUUCCGCUUCACACGUAGAUCCCGCCACGACGCUUUGCUUUGAUCUACACCAACUGACAGCUCCACCGUUUAAUGUAAACACGUAUCCGGUUUGCGAUUUUGAAUCGUCCGGAUCAGUGUCAAAGCUUGCAUCAACGUAACCAUUUACGAUGAGCUCUUUGUCACCUCCAUAUACGAGAAACAUAUCCUUAGUCCUUUUCAGGUAUUUCAGGAUGUUCUUGACCGCUGUCCAGUGAUCCACUCCUGGAUUACUUUGGUACCUCCCUGCUAGACUUAUACCAAGGCACACAUCAGUUCUGGUACACAGCAUUGCAUACAUGAUAGAGCCUAUGGCUAAAGCAUAGGGAACAUUUUUCAUUUUCUCUCUAUCUUCUGCAGUGGUCGGGCGUUGAGUCUUACUCAACUUCAAACCUUGCAAUACAGGCAAGAACCCUUUCUUUGCUUUAUCCAUUUUGAACUUCUUCAAAACUUUGUCAAGGUAUGUGCUUUGUGAAAGUCCAAUAAAGCGUUUUGAUCUAUCUCUAUAGAUCUCAAUGCCCAAUAUGUAAGCAGCUUCACCGUGGUCUUUCAUUGAAAAACUUUUAUUCAAGUAUCCCUUUAUGCUAUCCAGAAAUUCUAUAUCAUUUCCAAUCAAUAAUAUGUCAUCCACAUAUAAUAUUAGAAAUGCUACAGAGCUCCCACUCACUUUCUUGUAAAUACAGGCUUCUCCAAAAGUCUCUAUAAACCCAAAUGCUUUGAUCACACUAUCAAAACGUUUAUUCCAACUCCGAGAGGCUUGCACCAGUCCAUAAAUGGAUCGCUGGAGCUUGCACACUUUGUUAGCUCCCUUUGGAUCGAUAAAACCUUCUGGUUGCAUCAUAUACAAAUCUUCUUCUAGAAAUCCAUUCAGGAAUGCAGUUUUUACAUCCAUUUGCCAAAUUUCAUAAUCAUAAAAUGCGGCAUUUGCUAACAUGAUUCGAACAGACUUAAGCAUCACUACGAGUGAGAAGGUCUCAUCGUAGUCAACCCCUUGAACUUGUCGAAAACCUUUUGCAACAAGUCGAGCUUUGUAGACAGUAACAUUACCGUCAGCGUCAGUCUUCUUCUUGAAGAUCCAUUUAUUCUCAAUUGCUUGCCAACCAUUGGGCAAGUCAACCAAAGUCCAUACUUUGUUCUCAUACAUGGAUCCCAUCUCAGAUUUCAUGGCUUCAAGCCAUUUUGCGGAAUCUGGGCUCACCAUCGCUUCUUCAUAGUUCGUAGGUUCAUCAUGAUCUAGUAGCAUGACUUCCAGAAUAGGAUUACCGUACCACUCUGGUGCGGAUCUUACUCUGUUCGACCUACGAGGUUCUGUACUAACUUGAUCUGAAGUUCUAUGAUCAUCAUCAUCAACUUCCUCACUAGUUGGUUUUGACGUCACAGAAACCGGUUCCUGUGAUGUAUUAUUUUCCAACAAGGGAGUAGGUACAGUUACCUCAUCAAGUUCUACUUUCCUCCCACUCACUUUUUUCGAGAGAAACUCCUUCUCUAGAAAGGAUCCAUUCUUAGCAACGAAUGUCUUGCCUUCGGAUCUGUGAUAGAAGGUGUACCCAACUGUCUCCUUUGGGUAUCCUAUGAAGACACAUUUCUCCGAUUUGGGUUCGAGCUUAUCAGGUUGAAGUUUUUUCACAUAAGCAUCGCAUCCCCAAACUUUAAGAAACGACAACUUUGGUUUCUUGCCAAACCAUAGUUCAUAAGGUGUCGUCUCAAUGGAUUUCGACGGUGCCCUAUUUAACGUGAAUGUGGCCGUCUCUAAAGCAUAGCCCCAGAAUGAUAGCGGUAAAUCUGUAAGAGACAUCAUAGAUCGCACCAUAUCAAGUAAAGUACGAUUACGACGUUCGGACACACCAUUGUGUUGUGGUGUUCCGGGUGGCGUGAGUUGCGAAACUAUUCCACAUUGUUUUAAGUGUAGACCAAACUCGUAACUCAAAUAUUCUCCUCCAUGAUCAGAUCGUAGAAACUUUAUUUUCUUGUUACGAUGAUUUUCAACUUCACUCUGAAAUUCUUUGAACUUUUCAAAUGUUUCAUACUUAUGCUUCAUUAAGUAGAUAUACCCAUAUCUUCUUAAAUCAUCUGUGAAGGUGAGAAAAUAACGAUAUCCGCCACGAGCCUCAACAUUCAUCGGACCACAUACAUCUGUAUGUAUGAUUUCCAACAAAUCUGUUGCUCUCUCCAUAGUACCGGAGAACGGCGUUUUAGUCAUCUUGCCCAUGAGGCACGGUUCGUAAGUACCAAGUGAUUCAUAAUCAAGUGGUUCCAAAAGACCAUCAGUAUGGAGUUUCUUCAUGCGCUUUACACCGAUAUGACCUAAACGGCAGUGCCACAAAUAAGUUGCACUAUCAUUAUCAACUCUGCAUCUUUUGGUUUCAACACUAUGAAUAUGUGUAUCACUACUAUCGAGAUUCAUCAAAAAUAGACCACUCUUCAAGGGUGCAUGACCAUAAAAGAUAUUACUCAUAUAAAUAGAACAACCAUUAUUCUCUGAUUUAAAUGAAUAACCGUCUCGCAUCAAACAAGAUCCAGAUAUAAUGUUCAUGCUCAACGCUGGCACCAAAUAACAAUUAUUUAGGUCUAAUACUAAUCCCGAAGGUAGAUGUAGAGGUAGCGUGCCGACCGCGAUCACAUCGACUUUGGAACCAUUUCCCACGCGCAUCGUCACCUCGUCCUUUGCUAGCGUUCGCUUAAUCCGUAGUCCCUGUUUCGAGUUGCAAAUAUUAGCAAAAGAACCAGUAUCAAAUACCCAGGUGCUACUGCGAGCUCUAGUAAGGUACACAUCAAUAACAUGUAUAUCACAUAUACCUUUGUUCACCUUGCCAUCCUUCUUAUCCGCCAAAUACUGAAGGAAAUAUGCCCUAGAGGCAAUAAUAAAGUUAUUAUUUAUUUCCUCAUAUCAUGAUAAAUGUUUAUUAUUCAUGCUAGAAUUGUAUUAACUGGAAACAUAAUACAUGUGUGAAUAUAUAGACAAACAGAGUGUCACUAGUAUGCCUCUACUUGACUAGCUUGUUAAUCAAAGAUGGUUAUGUUUCCUAACCAUAAACAAGGAGUUGUUAUUUGAUUAACAAGGUCACAUCAUUAGUUGAAUGAUCUGAUUGACAUGACCCAUUCCGUUAGCUUAGCACCCGAUCGUUUUAGUAUGUUGCUAUUGCUUCCUUCAUGACUUAUACAUGUUCCUGUGACUAUGAGAUUAUGCAACUCCCGU
rnacentral:lncRNA from 1 species